rnacentral:rRNA from 1 species
GAUGAACGCUGGCGGCGUGCCUAAUACAUGCAAGUCGAGCGAAUGGAUUAAGAGCUUGCUCUUAUGAAGUUAGCGGCGGACGGGUGAGUAACACGUGGGUAACCUGCCCAUAAGACUGGGAUAACUCCGGGAAACCGGGGCUAAUACCGGAUAACAUUUUGAACCGCAUGGUUCGAAAUUGAAAGGCGGCUUCGGCUGUCACUUAUGGAUGGACCCGCGUCGCAUCAGCUAGUUGGUGAGGUAACGGCUCACCAAGGCAACGAUGCGUAGCCGACCUGAGAAGGUGAUCGGCCACAGUGGGACUGAGACACGGGCCAGACUCCUACGGGAGGCAGCAGUAGGGAAUCUUCCGCAAUGGACGAAAGUCUGACGGAGCAACGCCGCGUGAGUGACGAAGGCUUUCGGGUCGUAAAACUCUGUUGUUAGGGAAGAACAAGUGCUAGUUGAAUAAGCUGGCACCUUGACGGUACCUAACCAGAAAGCCACGGCUAACUACGUGCCAGCCGCCGCAGUAA